rnacentral:miRNA from 1 species
CCAGUUACCCGGUCUGGCCCUCC